GGCGAACGCUGGCGGCGUGCUUAACACAUGCAAGUCGAACGGAAAGGCCCUGCUUUUGUGGAGUGCUCGAGUGGCGAACGGGUGAGUAACACGUGAGUAACCUGCCCUUGACUUUGGGAUAACUUCAGGAAACUGGGGCUAAUACCGGAUAGGAGCUCCUGCUGCAUGGUGGGGGUUGGAAAGUUUCGGCGGUUGGGGAUGGACUCGCGGCUUAUCAGCUUGUUGGUGGGGUAGUGGCUUACCAAGGCUUUGACGGGUAGCCGGCCUGAGAGGGUGACCGGCCACAUUGGGACUGAGAUACGGCCCAGACUCCUACGGGAGGCAGCAGUGGGGAAUAUUGCACAAUGGGCGGAAGCCUGAUGCAGCAACGCCGCGUGCGGGAUGACGGCCUUCGGGUUGUAAACCGCUUUCGCCUGUGACGAAGCGUGAGUGACGGUAAUGGGUAAAGAAGCACCGGCUAACUACGUG
rnacentral:rRNA from 1 species